rnacentral:rRNA from 1 species
GAGAGGAAGGUCCCCCACAUUGGAACUGAGACACGGUCCAAAACUCUACGGGAGGCAGCUAGUGAGGAAUAUUGGUCAAUGGGCGAGAGCCUGAACCAGCCAAGUAGCGUGAAGGAUGACUGCCCUAUGGGUUGUAAACUUCUUUUAUAAAGGAAUAAAGUCGGGUAUGGAUACCCCGUUUGCAUGUACUUUAUGAAUAAGGAUCG